GACGAACGCUGGCGGCGUGCCUAAUACAUGCAAGUUGAGCGCUGAAGGUUGGUACUUGUACCAACUGGAUGAGCAGCGAACGGGUGAGUAACGCGUGGGGAAUCUGCCUUUGAGCGGGGGACAACAUUUGGAAACGAAUGCUAAUACCGCAUAAAAACUUUAAACACAAGUUUUAAGUUUGAAAGAUGCAAUUGCAUCACUCAAAGAUGAUCCCGCGUUGUAUUAGCUAGUUGGUGAGGUAAAGGCUCACCAAGGCGAUGAUACAUAGCCGACCUGAGAGGGUGAUCGGCCACAUUGGGACUGAGACACGGCCCAAACUCCUACGGGAGGCAGCAGUAGGGAAUCUUCGGCAAUGGACGAAAGUCUGACCGAGCAACGCCGCGUGAGUGAAGAAGGGUUUCGGAUCGUAAAACUCUGUUGGUAGAGAAGAACGUUGGUGAGGGUGGAAAGCUCAUCAAGUGACGGUAACUACCCAGAAAGGGACGGCUAACUACGUG
rnacentral:rRNA from 1 species